UUGAACGCUGGCGGCAGGCUUAACACAUGCAAGUCGAGCGGGGGAAGGUAGCUUGCUACCGGACCUAGCGGCGGACGGGUGAGUAAUGCUUAGGAAUCUGCCUAUUAGUGGGGGACAACAUCUCGAAAGGGAUACUAAUACCGCAUACGUCCUACGGGAGAAAGCAGGGGAUCUUCGGACCUUGCGCUAAUAGAUGAGCCUAAGUCGGAUUAGCUAGUUGGUGGGGUAAAGGCCUACCAAGGCGACGAUCUGUAGCGGGUCUGAGAGGAUGAUCCGCCACACUGGGACUGAGACACGGCCCAGACUCCUACGGGAGGCAGCAGUGGGGAAUAUUGGACAAUGGGGGGAACCCUGAUCCAGCCAUGCCGCGUGUGGGAAGAAGGCCUUAUGGUUGUAAAGCACUUUAAGCGAGGAGGAGGCUACUUUAGUUAAUACCUAGAGAUAGUGGACGUUACUCGCAGAAUAAGCACCGGCUAACUCUGUG
rnacentral:rRNA from 1 species